rnacentral:rRNA from 1 species
UACGUAGGGUCCGAGCGUUGUCCGGAGUUACUGGGCGUAAAGCGCGCGCAGGCGGCGGCGUUGGCCCGGCGUGAAAGCCCCCGGCUCAACCGGGGAGGGUCGUCGGGGACCGCGCCGCUUGAGGGUGGCAGGGGCUGGUGGAAUGCCUGGUGUAGUGGUGAAAUGCGUAGAGAUCAGGCGGAACACCCGUGGCGAAGGCGGCCAGCUGGGCCACCACUGACGCUGAGGCGCGAAGGCGUGGGGAGCGAACGGG